CCUCCUUGGGUGACUAUUACAUGUUUUUCAAGCUUUGCUGAGAUUGUGGCUGGCCAUCACCUUGAAGAGACCUCUGUGAAGGACUGAACAUAACAGAGCACACAGGCAGAUCAGAGUGCUGCAAGAUAUGGACACCUUCUAUGUCCUUCUGUGCAACUUAGGCCAUGACUUCAAAUCCCUUCAGCCUAUUAUUCUAACCACUGCUGCAGCAACCUGCUCGGAGCAGGUUUGAUGACCUUUGAACAAGUGCGAAAUACCAGCACCUCUCCUCUCACUUCCUGCCCCAGCAUGUCUCUGAUGUGGGAGUCAGCUUGGCAUUCACAACUGUGCGAUUUGUAAGUGUGAAGUAGUUAAUGCCCAAGGGCAUUAACCUUCGAUCAAAGAGGACAGGAGCCGACAUACAAAUGCUUCCUCCGUUCUUUCCUUUAAUGGACAGUUCUGAGACUCAUUUCAUAAAGCUUCUUAGAAGGUCCUAAGGGACUAAGAAAACAUUCAAAUAUGGUGAUGACCAACUCAGUAACACAUUCUUAUACUGCAUCUCCCUUUUUGUUUUGUCUUCUUCCUCUUCCCUCAUUUUGCUCCCUGGGAUCAAAUUUCCAAAUAAACUAUUGCAUAUAAGUGUCACUUUGCAGGGAAUCCAAGAGGAGAGAGGAUAAUUUAAUUUUUGGACACACAAGUUUGAGGUGUCUAUAAGACAUCCAAGUGGAAAUGUCAGGCGAUGGGCAGUAUAUACACAAAUCUUGAGGUUCAAGAAAGAGAUCUAGGCUUCUGAAAUGCAAUUCAUUUCCCAACUUUGAGGAGGGCUAUAAACAUACAGGUAAAUAAAAGAAAGAUAAUAGGACCAAAAAACACAUGCAAUUGUCAUAGAGUGUCCACAGUAAGCAUUCCGGUGCCAAGCAGGAAAGGGUCUUUGUAAAGAUAUAACCAGAUCCUGCUCUUAAAAGGGAAGUCAUUUGAUGAAAGUGAAAAGUAUUCUAACUACUGUUUGCUCAUUUAAAUUUCUAGCACAUUUAUCUGAUCUGUACCUCUCUUUGGUCACUUAUUUUGUGUCCUAUUUUAUAUAUAUUUGUACCUACACCUUGUCUAGUCCUACCACACUGUGAACUCCUUUAGGUUAAGAUUCAUGCCUGAAUCACCUCUGUACCUGGAAUCAAAGUGCCUAGCAUUAAAAAAAAAAGGUGCCAGGAAUAUUGAAUAAAUAAAACACCUACCUGCAACCAGCAACAUUGGCAUCAUUUAUGCAUCCCAAACUUAAAUAUGCAUAAGCAUCAUCUUGCUAAGAUGCAGAUUCUGAUUCAGUAGAUCUGAAGUGAGCCAGAGAGGCUGCAUUUCCUAAAAAGCCCC
rnacentral:lncRNA from 1 species